GCUAGCCGCGCAAUUGCGCGGGCUAACCAGCUAGUUUGAUAUCAUCAUCUUCUUAAGAAAUAUAAUAUAUACAUAUACUCUCUCCGUUCAAAAAAAUAAAUAAAUCUAAUACUGUAUAUGACAUAUUCAUAUUAGGCAAAAUUUGCUACAGAACACUGAAAGAUUAUGGUCUUUGCUGUGAGGCACUUGAAGAUCGCGUAUCUUCUCGUGGACACCGUAAAAAAGUAGUAAUUAGCUGCUAGACACUCCUCCCAUUAUUUUAUUAUUUUCGGCCCAAACGGAGAGAGAAACUUUCAUAAAAGACAAGUUUGCCCACGGGUCCACUCGUCAGUCUCCUCUCUUUCUCUAUUCUCUUCUUCCUCAGCAGCGAGUGAUGGCAGAGGUGCCGAGCAGCCACGGCGAGGCCACCCGUCGGACAGCGUUCGGGAGAAGGUGCCGGCGGCGGAGAGGAGUGGUGUGUCUGUGGCACACGCUGGCGGAGGAGGUGGAGACGAGUCCGUCCACAACGGCAUAGAGAUUGGCCGCCGGGAGUGAGGCCCUGCACUCCAGACAAUCCCCGGGAAUGCCGGUGGUAGAGGAGGUCGAUAGAUGUUGUGUGGAUGUGGAGGAUGGCGCGGCGGUGGAGGGGGUGGCGUGGCAGACGUGCUCCAAGGGUCCAAGUGGAGUCCUUCAGAUCGGCGCAGGCGAGGCAGGGGCUGGCCGACACAACAAAGGGGAAGGACGACGACGAGGUCGACCAUGGCGAAGACGGGCACCCCAGUCUCCAGGGCCGCGACUAAAGUAGGUGGGCGGAGGCGGUGGGGGCAGUCAGCGGCCUCCAUCUGGGAGAAGAAGACGGCGACCGGCUCGUGACGCAGUGUGGAGGACGAAGUCGACGAUGAGAGCUUGGACAAAGCCGUUUUCAUCGCCGCCGGCCGAUCUCCUCCUCCAUUGCUCCCCUUCCUAUUCCCUUUCACCACAGGCUUUGCCUCACCGAGGAGAGACCCUUUUUCCCCUUUCCCCUCUCCCUCCACCUCUGAGUCAGGCCACCACCGCCACCACCAUAGCCGGCCAGAACUAAGCUCUUUGUGUUGCCGUUCCGGCCAUCUCCUUUUUCCUCUUUGCUUGACACCACCCUCCCCGGAUGCGCAUCGCCCGGGAACAUCAUCCGUCACCAACGUCGUCGAUCCCCGGCCACUGGAGCACCGACGCCCUUCUCUCUCCCUCUCCUCUGUUACUCGGCUGGAAGGAGGAAGAAGAACAUUGUCAGGGGCAUUUUGUGUCCACGAGAAGAUGCGCGAUCUUCGGGUGUCUCACAGCAAAGACCACAAUCUUUCAUUGUCCUGUAGCAAAUUUUGCCUUCAUAUUAUAGUACAAUGAAUUUGAAAAGAGAUAUGUCCACAUCCAGUACUAGAUUGUUUUUUUAUGGGACGAAUGGAGUAUAUAAUACUAUGAAUCUGAAUAUAUGCAUAGUUAUUCGUGAUGCAAAGAAGAGGGAAAUAGUUCUAUCCCGUCCUAUACGGCUACAUCGUAUAUAAUGACAUAUUGGGAUGCACUUGACCACAUAUUUAUUCUUCGGCCUUAUUAUAUUUAAGUUUUCAAGUGGAAAUAUGUAUAUUUACAAUAUAUAUG